CAAACGACUCUCGACAACGGAUAUCCCGGCUCUCGCAUCGAUGAAGAACGUAGCGAAAUGCGAUACUUGGUGUGAAUUGCAGAAUCCCGUGAACCAUCGAGUUUUUGAACGCAAGUUGCGCCCGAUGCCAUUAGGCUGAGGGCACGUCUGCCUGGGUGUCACGU
rnacentral:rRNA from 1 species